rnacentral:lncRNA from 1 species
CUCUUCUCUCUCUCUUCUCCAUGCCACACCCUCUCUCCCUCUUCUCUCUCCCAUGCCCAAAGCUUGGGUAUUCAUAUUCCACAUGCUAAGAAGAAGAAGAGUCUCUUCUACAACAAGGAACAAGGAGAAGGAGGCUGUAGUUCAAGGGUUGAAGUUGCAGUCAAGAUCAUUUGCUAAUCAAGAUUCAAAUAGGCAAAUAUUCUACUUAGAGAAGAAGGAUCU